rnacentral:rRNA from 2 species
AUACAUGCAAGUCGUACGCACUGGCCCAACUGAUUGAUGGUGCUUGCACCUGAUUGACGAUGGAUCACCAGUGAGUGGCGGACGGGUGAGUAACACGUAGGUAACCUGCCCCGGAGCGGGGGAUAACAUUUGGAAACAGAUGCUAAUACCGCAUAACAGCAAAAGCCACAUGGCUUUUGCUUGAAAGAUGGCUUUGGCUAUCACUCUGGGAUGGACCUGCGGUGCAUUAGCUAGUUGGUAAGGUAACGGCUUACCAAGGCGAUGAUGCAUAGCCGAGUUGAGAGACUGAUCGGCCACAAUGGAACUGAGACACGGUCCAUACUCCUACGGGAGGCAGCAGUAGGGAAUCUUCCACAAUGGGCGCAAGCCUGAUGGAGCAACACCGCGUGAGUGAAGAAGGGUUUCGGCUCGUAAAGCUCUGUUGUUGGAGAAGAACGUGCGUGAGAGUAACUGUUCACGCAGUGACGGUAUCCAACCAGAAAGUCACGGCUAACUACGUGCCAGCAGCCGCGGUAAUACGUAGGUGGCAAGCGUUAUUCGGAUUUAUUGGGCGUAAAGCGAGCGCAGGCGGUUGCUUAGGUCUGAUGUGAAAGCCUUCGGCUUAACCGAAGAAGUGCAUCGGAAACCGGGCGACUUGAGUGCAGAAGAGGACAGUGGAACUCCAUGUGUAGCGGUGGAAUGCGUAGAUAUAUGGAAGAACACCAGUGGCGAAGGCGGCUGUCUGGUCUGCAACUGACGCUGAGGCUCGAAAGCAUGGGUAGCGAACAGGAUUAGAUACCCUGGUAGUCCAUGCCGUAAACGAUGAGUGCUAGGUGUUGGAGGGUUUCCGCCCUUCAGUGCCGGAGCUAACGCAUUAAGCACUCCGCCUGGGGAGUACGACCGCAAGGUUGAAACUCAAAGGAAUUGACGGGGGCCCGCACAAGCGGUGGAGCAUGUGGUUUAAUUCGAAGCUACGCGAAGAACCUUACCAGGUCUUGACAUCUUGCGCUAACCUUAGAGAUAAGGCGUUCCCUUCGGGGACGCAAUGACAGGUGGUGCAUGGUCGUCGUCAGCUCGUGUCGUGAGAUGUUGGGUUAAGUCCCGCAACGAGCGCAACCCUUGUUACUAGUUGCCAGCAUUAAGUUGGGCACUCUAGUGAGACUGCCGGUGACAAACCGGAGGAAGGUGGGGACGACGUCAGAUCAUCAUGCCCCUUAUGACCUGGGCUACACACGUGCUACAAUGGACGGUACAACGAGUCGCAAGCUCGCGAGAGUAAGCUAAUCUCUUAAAGCCGUUCUCAGUUCGGACUGUAGGCUGCAACUCGCCUACACGAAGUCGGAAUCGCUAGUAAUCGCGGAUCAGCAUGCCGCGGUGAAUACGUUCCCGGGCCUUGUACACACCGCCCGUCACACCAUGGGAGUUUGUAACGCCCAAAGUCGGUGGCCUAACCUUUAUGGAGGGAGCCGCCUAAGG